UGGGGAAUUUUCCGCAAUGGGCGAAAGCCUGACGGAGCAACGCCGCGUGUGGGAAGAAGGCUCUUGGGCUGUCAACCACUUUUCUCAGGGAAGAAGUCCCUGACGGUACCUGAGGAAUCAGCCUCGGCUAACUCCGUGCCAGCAGCCGCGGUAAUACGGAGGAGGCAAGCGUUAUCCGGAAUUAUUGGGCGUAAAGCGUCCGCAGGGGGCGCAUCAAGUCUGCUGUUAAAGGUCGGAGCUAAACUCCGGUAGAGCAGUGGAAACUGGUGCGCUAGAGGGCGACAGGGGUAGAGGGAAUUUCCCAGUGUA
rnacentral:rRNA from 1 species